rnacentral:snRNA from 1 species
GUGCUCGCUUCGGCAGCACAUAUACUAAAAUUGGAAAGAUACAAAGAAGAUUAGCAUGGCCCCUACGCAAGGAUGACAUUUUUUAAAAAAAAAAAAAAAAAAAAAGA